UACGUAGGGUGCGAGCGUUGCCCGGAUUUAUUGGGCGUAAAGGGCGCGUAGGCGGCUCGGCACGUCCGUUGUGAAAUCGCCCGGCUCAACUGGGCGGGGUCAGCGGAUACGGUCGAGCUUGAGCAAGCUAGGGGGUAAUGGAAUUCCCGGUGUAGUGGUGGAAUGCGUAGAUAUCGGGAGGAACACCAGUGGCGAAGGCGGUUACCUGGGGCUUUGCUGACGCUAAUGCGCGAAAGCGUGGGGAGCGAUCCGG
rnacentral:rRNA from 1 species